rnacentral:rRNA from 1 species
UACGAAGGGGGCUAGCGUUGCUCGGAAUUACUGGGCGUAAAGCGCACGUAGGCGGAUCUUUAAGUCAGGGGUGAAAUCCUGGAGCUCAACUCCAGAACUGCCUUUGAUACUGAGGACCUUGAGUUCGGGAGAGGUGAGUGGAACUGCGAGUGUAGAAGUGAAAUUCGUAGAUAUUCGCAAGAACACCAGUGGCGAAGGCGGCUCACUGGCCCGAUACUGACGCUGAGGUGCGAAAGCGUGGGGAGCAAACAGG